CCUACGGGUCGCACCAGUGGGGAAUUUUCCGCAAUGGGCGAAAGCCUGACGCAGCAAUUCCGCGUGGAGGAUGACGGUUUUCGGAUUGUAAACUCCUUUGAUCAGGGAAGAAUUUUUGACGGUACCUGAAGAACAAGCACCGGCUAACUACGUGCCAGCAGCCGCGGUAAUACGUAGGGUGCAAGCGUUAUCCGGAUUUACUGGGUGUAAAGGGCGAGUAGGCGGGACUUCAGGUCAGAUGUGAAAUACCAGGGCUCAACCCUGGGGCUGCAUUUGAAACUGUAGUUCUUGAGUGAUGGAGAGGCAGGCGGAAUUCCUAGUGUAGCGGUGAAAUGCGUAGAUAUUAGGAGGAACACCAGUGGCGAAGGCGGCAACCUGGCUCGAUACUGACGCUGAGGCGCGAAAGCGUGGGGAGCAAACAGGAUUAGAUACCCGCGUAGUC
rnacentral:rRNA from 1 species